rnacentral:rRNA from 1 species
UACGUAGGGUCCGAGCGUUGUCCGGAAUUAUUGGGCGUAAAGGGCUCGUAGGCGGUUUGUCGCGUCGGGAGUGAAAACACGGGGCUUAACCCCGUGCCUGCUUCCGAUACGGGCAGACUAGAGGUAUGCAGGGGAGAACGGAAUUCCUGGUGUAGCGGUGGAAUGCGCAGAUAUCAGGAGGAACACCGGUGGCGAAGGCGGGUCUCUGGGCAGUAACUGACGCUGAGGAGCGAAAGCGUGGGGAGCGAACAGG